rnacentral:rRNA from 1 species
UACGUAGGGUGCGAGCGUUAAUCGGAAUUACUGGGCGUAAAGCGUGCGCAGGCGGUUUUGUAAGACAGGCGUGAAAUCCCCGAGCUUAACUUGGAAUGGCGCUUGUGACUGCAAGGCUAGAGUAUGUCAGAGGGGGGUAGAAUUCCACGUGUAGCAGUGAAAUGCGUAGAGAUGUGGAGGAAUACCGAUGGCGAAGGCAGCCCCCUGGGACGUCACUGACGCUCAUGGCAACGGAAAGCCGUGGGGAGCAAACAGG